rnacentral:rRNA from 1 species
CCUACGGGAGGCAGCAGUGGGGAAUAUUGGACAAUGGGGGCAACCCUGAUCCAGCCAUGCCGCGUGUGUGAAGAAGGCCCUCGGGUUGUAAAGCACUUUCAGUGAGGAAGAACGCCUGGUGGUUAAUACCCAUCAGGAAAGACAUCACUCACAGAAGAAGCACCGGCUAACUCCGUGCCAGCAGCCGCGGUAAUACGGAGGGUGCGAGCGUUAAUCGGAAUUACUGGGCGUAAAGCGCGCGUAGGUGGCUUGAUAAGCCGGUUGUGAAAGCCCCGGGCUCAACCUGGGAACGGCAUCCGGAACUGUCAAGCUAGAGUGCAGGCGAGGAAGGUAGAAUUCCCGGUGUAGCGGUGAAAUGCGUAGAGAUCGGGAGGAAUACCAGUGGCGAAGGCGACCUUCUGGACUGACACUGACACUGAGGUGCGAAAGCGUGGGUAGCAAACAGGAUUAGAUACCCGGGUAGUC